rnacentral:misc_RNA from 1 species
GAAAUGCGAUAAGUAAUGUGAAUUGCAGAAUGCAGUGAAUCAUCGAAUCUUUGAACGCACAUUGCGCCCGCCAGUAUUCUGGCGGGCAUGCCUGUUCGAGCGUCAUUACAACCCUCAGGCCCCCGGGCCUGGCGUUGGGGAUCGGCGGAAGCCCCCUGCGGGCACAACGCCGUCCCCCAAAUACAGUGGCGGUCCCGCCGCAGCUUCCAUUGCGUAGUAGCUAACACCUCGCAACUGGAGAGCGGCGCGGCCACGCCGUAAAACACCCAACUUCUGAAUGUUGACCUCGAAUCAGGUAGGAAUACCCGCUGAACUUAAGC